rnacentral:rRNA from 1 species
GAUGAACGCUGGCGGCGUGCCUAAUACAUGCAAGUCGAGCGAACGGACGAGAAGCUUGCUUCUCUGAUGUUAGCGGCGGACGGGUGAGUAACACGUGGAUAACCUACCUAUAAGACUGGGAUAACUUCGGGAAACCGGAGCUAAUACCGGAUAAUAUUUUGAACCGCAUGGUUCAAAAGUGAAAGACGGUCUUGCUGUCACUUAUAGAUGGAUCCGCGCUGCAUUAGCUAGUUGGUAAGGUAACGGCUUACCAAGGCAACGAUGCAUAGCCGACCUGAGAGGGUGAUCGGCCACACUGGAACUGAGACACGGUCCAGACUCCUACGGGAGGCAGCAGUAGGGAAUCUUCCGCAAUGGGCGAAAGCCUGACGGAGCAACGCCGCGUGAGUGAUGAAGGUCUUCGGAUCGUAAAACUCUGUUAUUAGGGAAGAACAUAUGUGUAAGUAACUGUGCACAUCUUGACGGUACCUAAUCAGAAAGCCACGGCUAACUACGUGCCAGCAGCCGCGGUAAUACGUAGGUGGCAAGCGUUAUCCGGAAUUAUUGGGCGUAAAGCGCGCGUAGGCGGUUUUUUAAGUCUGAUGUGAAAGCCCACGGCUCAACCGUGGAGGGUCAUUGGAAACUGGAAAACUUGAGUGCAGAAGAGGAAAGUGGAAUUCCAUGUGUAGCGGUGAAAUGCGCAGAGAUAUGGAGGAACACCAGUGGCGAAGGCGACUUUCUGGUCUGUAACUGACGCUGAUGUGCGAAAGCGUGGGGAUCAAACAGGAUUAGAUACCCUGGUAGUCCACGCCGUAAACGAUGAGUGCUAAGUGUUAGGGGGUUUCCGCCCCUUAGUGCUGCAGCUAACGCAUUAAGCACUCCGCCUGGGGAGUACGACCGCAAGGUUGAAACUCAAAGGAAUUGACGGGGACCCGCACAGGCGGUGGAGCAUGUGGUUUAAUUCGAAGCAACGCGAAGAACCUUACCAAAUCUUGACAUCCUUUGACAACUCUAGAGAUAGAGCCUUCCCCUUCGGGGGACAAAGUGACAGGUGGUGCAUGGUUGUCGUCAGCUCGUGUCGUGAGAUGUUGGGUUAAGUCCCGCAACGAGCGCAACCCUUAAGCUUAGUUGCCAUCAUUAAGUUGGGCACUCUAAGUUGACUGCCGGUGACAAACCGGAGGAAGGUGGGGAUGACGUCAAAUCAUCAUGCCCCUUAUGAUUUGGGCUACACACGUGCUACAAUGGACAAUACAAAGGGCAGCGAAACCGCGAGGUCAAGCAAAUCCCAUAAAGUUGUUCUCAGUUCGGAUUGUAGUCUGCAACUCGACUACAUGAAGCUGGAAUUGCUAGUAAUCGUAGAUCAGCAUGCUACGGUGAAUACGUUCCCGGGUCU